rnacentral:snRNA from 1 species
GUGCUCGUUUGGGCAGCACAUAUACUAAAAUUGGAACGAUACAGAGAAGAUUAGCAUGGCCUCUGCACUAGAACAUCAUGCAAAUUCGUGAAGCAUUCCAUAUUUUU